GCUGCUGAUGGCCGAGUGGUUAAGGUGUUACAUUCAAAAUCUAAUGGGGGUUUCCCUGUGCAGGUUCAAACCCUGCUCACAGCA